rnacentral:rRNA from 1 species
GACGAACGCUGGCGGCGUGCCUAAUACAUGCAAGUAGGACGCAGUUGCGAACGGGCGAGUAACGCGUAGGUAAUUACCUUUUAGAGGGGGAUAACUCUUGGAAACGAUAGCCAUUACAGCAUACUAGUAGAUGUACCUGCGUUGUAUUAGCUAGUAGGUAAGGUAAUGGACUACCUAGGCAACGAAACAUAGCCGACCUGCAGGGGGGAUCGGCAAAACUGGGCACGAGACACGGCCCAGACUCCUCCGGGAGGCAGCAGUAGGGAAUCUUCGGCAAUGGGGGGAACCCUGACCGAGCAACGCCGCGUUAGUGAAGAAGGUUUUCGGAUCGUAAAGCUCUGUUGUUAAAGAAGCGGUACUUAACCAGAAAGGGACGGCUAACUACGUGCCAGCAGCCGCGGUAAUAC